rnacentral:rRNA from 1 species
GAUCGCAGGCUGNAACCCGCCUGCGUGAAGUUGGAAUUGCUAGUAAUCGCGGAUCAGCAUGCCGCGGUGAAUACGUUCCCGGGCCUUGUACACACCGCCCGUCACACCAUGGGAGCCGGUAAUACCCGAAGUCAGUAGCCUAACCGCAAGGGGGGAGCUGCCGAAGGCAGGCCUGGUGACUGGGGUGAAGUCGUAACAAGGUAAC